rnacentral:rRNA from 1 species
CAGUCGCCGCGGUAAUACGGAGGGUGCAAGCGUUAAUCGGAAUUACUGGGCGUAAAGCGCACGCAGGCGGUCUGACAAGUCAGAUGUGAAAUCCCCGGGCUUAACCUGGGAACUGCAUUUGAAACUGUCAGGCUGGAGUCUUGUAGAGGGGGGUAGAAUUCCAGGUGUAGCGGUGAAAUGCGUAGAGAUCUGGAGGAAUACCGGUGGCGAAGGCGGCCCCCUGGACAAAGACUGACGCUCAGGUGCGAAAGCGUGGGGAGCAAACAGGAUUAGAUACCCGAGUAGUCCCUGUCUCUUAUAA